UAGGCAUUUUCUAAAAUGCCUAAAGUUGACAGGCAUUUUAUAAAAUGCCUAAAAAAAACCUGGUCAUUUUGUAAAAUUCCUGAAAUUUUUAAUGAAAAUUUCACAAAUUGACGGUCUGU